GACGAACGCUGGCGGCGUGCUUAACACAUGCAAGUCGAACGGAAAGGCCCUGCUUUUGUGGGGUGCUCGAGUGGCGAACGGGUGAGUAACACGUGAGUAACCUGCCCUUGACUUUGGGAUAACUUCAGGAAACUGGGGCUAAUACCGGAUAGGAGCUCCUGCUGCAUGGUGGGGGUUGGAAAGUUUCGGCGGUGGGGGAUGGACUCGCGGGUAAUCAGCUUGUUGGUGGGGUAGUGGCUUACCAAGGCUUUGACGGGUAGCCGGCCUGAGAGGGUGACCGGCCACAUUGGGACUGAGAUACGACCCAGACUCCUACGGGAGGCAGCAGUGGGGAAUAUUGCACAAUGGGCGGAAGCCUGAUGCAGCAACACCGCGUGCGGGAUGACGGCCUUCGGGUUGUAAGCCGCUUUCGCCUGUGACGAAGCGUGAGUGACGGUAAUGGGUAAAGAAGCACCGGCUAACUACGUG
rnacentral:rRNA from 1 species